rnacentral:rRNA from 1 species
GACGAACGCUGGCGGCGUGCUUAACACAUGCAAGUCGAACGGAAAGGCCUCUUUCGGGGGGUACUCGAGUGGCGAACGGGUGAGUAACACGUGAGUAACCUGCCCUUGACUUUGGGAUAACUUCCGGAAACUGGGGCUAAUACCGGAUAGGAGCUCCUGCUGCAUGGUGGGGGUUGGAAAGUUUCGGCGGUUGGGGAUGGACUCGCGGCUUAUCAGCUUGUUGGUGGGGUAGUGGCUUACCAAGGCUUUGACGGGUAGCCGGCCUGAGAGGGUGACCGGCCACAUUGGGACUGAGAUACGGCCCAGACUCCUACGGGAGGCAGCAGGGGGGAAUAUUGCACAAGGGGUGGAAGCCUGAUGCAGCAACGCCGUGUGCGGGAUGACGGCCUUCGGGUUGUAAACCGCUUUCGCUCAUGACGAAGCUUUGUGUGACGGUAGUGGGUAAAGAAGCACCGGCUAACUACGUG